AUCACUUCUCAGCCUUUUGGUAAGAUCAAGUCUACUAUCUGUUCUUAUCAUUUUAAUAUUUGGUAUGUCCUCUAUCCAAGGACAUUAACUGGGUUUUUGAAGCUGGGAGAUGGACUAGGAGCUUGCUCCGUCCACACUGUGUGCAUCAACCUGGUUUUGUAGUAUUUCUAGGAACAGUGCACCCCCC